GACGAACGCUGGCGGCGUGCUUAACACAUGCAAGUCGAGCGGUAAGGCCCUUUCGGGGGUACACGAGCGGCGAACGGGUGAGUAACACGUGGGUGACCUGCCUUUAGCUCUGGGAUAAGCCUGGGAAACCGGGUCUAAUACCGGAUAUGACUCCGCGGCGCAUGUUGUGGGGUGGAAAGCCUUGUGCGGCUGGAGAUGGGCCCGCGGCCUAUCAGCUUGUUGGUGGGGUGAUGGCCUACCAAGGCGACGACGGGUAGCCGGCCUGAGAGGGCGACCGGCCACACUGGGACUGAGACACGGCCCAGACUCCUACGGGAGGCAGCAGUGGGGAAUCUUGCGCAAUGGGCGAAAGCCUGACGCAGCGACGCCGCGUGAGGGAUGACGGCCUCGGUGUAAC
rnacentral:rRNA from 1 species